rnacentral:rRNA from 1 species
GAUGAACGCUGGCGGCGCGCCUAACACAUGCAAGUCGAACGGCACCCCUCCUCGGAGGGAAGCGAGUGGCGAACGGCUGAGUAACACGUGGAGAACCUGCCCCCUCCCCCGGGAUAGCCGCCCGAAAGGACGGGUAAUACCGGAUACCCCGGGGUGCCGCAUGGCACCCCGGCUAAAGCCCCGACGGGAGGGGAUGGCUCCGCGGCCCAUCAGGUAGACGGCGGGGUGACGGCCCACCGUGCCGACAACGGGUAGCCGGGUUGAGAGACCGACCGGCCAGAUUGGGACUGAGACACGGCCCAGACUCCUACGGGAGGCAGCAGUGGGGAAUCUUGCGCAAUGGGGGGAACCCUGACGCAGCGACGCCGCGUGCGGGACGGAGGCCUUCGGGUCGUAAACCGCUUUCAGCAGGGAAGAGUCAAGACUGUACCUGCAGAAGAAGCCCCGGCUAACCACGUG